UACGAAGGGGGGCUAGCGUUGCUCGGAAUCACUGGGCGUAAAGGGUGCGUAGGCGGGUCUUUUAAGUCAGGGGGUGAAAUCCUGGAGCUCAACUCCAGAACUGCCUUUGAUACUGAAGAUCUUGAGUUCGGGAGAGGUGAGUGGAACUGCGAGUGUAGAGGUGAAAUUCGUAGAUAUUCGGAAGAACACCAGUGGCGAAGGCGGCUCACUGGACGGCAUUGACGCUGAGGUGCGAAAGCGUGGGGAGCAAACAGG
rnacentral:rRNA from 1 species